CUAUCCUAGGAGUCUGGAUCUGCAGCCCUGGCUGCUCCCCUCAGGAUGUUACAAUCACUCUCAUGAUGGAUAAAGGGUGUAAAAGAUGUUGUGGAUCAGCAGACACCCCACUUCCUUUUCUUAACCACCUGGAUAUUUGACUAGAUCUGGUGGAGGUCUCCUUCAGGUUAAUUCUUUGUAUCUGGGCAUGUUUGCCUCCCCUGUUUCAGAAUACCUCCCAGAUUUCCCUGUGCACUUCCUCUUCAGUUGGCUAGGUUGAAUCUCCUCAUUCUAGUUGAUAGCUCUAUACAUUAUGAUUUUUGAAAAUACAAGAUUGGUAAUGCCAUAUAUACUGUUUGUAACUUGCUGUUUCACUUAAUGGAGUAUAGAGGACAUAUUUUCGCUACAAUAAAUUCAUGUCAACAUGAUGAUCUUUUAAUGUUAUAAUUAAUAACUGUUUUGUCCCAUCCCCUCCAUUACUUUCCCUUAUACCUCUUCCCCCCAUCCCCAGGGAUUUUCCAUAAGUCUAAGAAGAUUAAAAUGGUGAACGAGAAUUACUUUGGUAAGGUAAGACUUGUUUUUAGGAUAACUGAAGGUCCAGAGAAGAAUUAAAUGAACUGAGCCCAUUGGAGAGAUUGGGGAAAUAUUCCUGUAAGAGAGCCCCAAUAUCUGAAGAGUGUUUGGGCAAAGCUGAGGGGAAUGACACUCAUGGUUUGAUCCUAAGUGUGUCUCUGGAUCAGAGAGGAGGAGUUUUGACCAGCAAAGCUGGAGGUUUCCUAGAGGAGAACCAGAGAGUAUGCUGGCUGAGCCGGCAAGAAUAUAACAACUAGCAUGGCUGGCGGAGAGGCACAUGCCCUUCUUUGGGAGUUGAAGGGAUAGGAGAAAAGGAUGUGGGUGAUGUGGAAAGAUCAGUAAUCUCAAAAGCUGAGAACCAAGAAGAGAGCUCAAUGGACUAGAAAGAUGUAUUCACUAAGCAAGAGUCUUACCAUUUGUCCCAACUGUGUAACUGUAUAAACACCCAUCUUCAAAUUUCUGUGUGGUAUAGAAAGUGAUAUUUGUAUUUUGGCCUCACAGUGCACCCUAUUGGAAAAAGAAGUAAUGUUGGAGAUGAGAUAGCAAAGAAAGUUUCCUAAUAUCAGUAGAGUGAAUGAUGCUUUACAAAAUUUUACUAACAGCAUUAUGCAUGCAACAUAUUCUUUUCAUUUUCAAAAGAACUCUGUGCAGGAAAUAAUAUUAUUCUUAUUUUACAAAUAUGAAGAGAGAAGGGUUUAAUAAUUUGUAGCCAAGCUGAUCAGUCAGGUUCAAGUCUGGUCUGAGCCCCAGACCCUCAUUUUCCACCUUGCUAAACCCAUAAGCACCUAAACUUGCAAAUAGAGAGUUAAAUCUAGGUGGGUAAAAGUAGAUCACUCAAGUGUGAAGAAUCACCUGUUUGGACUCUUUUUCACUAGAAAGUCUGAUGUUUUGGUAUAUUGCCUAAUUUCCAGAGUCCAUAAAGCAGAAGAAUUCCAUUCUUCCUAUGAGAAAAUUACAUAUAAUAUUUUAAAGGCAGCAUUAUUACAUCUGUGGUACCAAAGGAAUCAGAUAUACUUAGUCACAUGAGGAGGAUAUAUGGUGUCCACCAAUAUCUUGGACACAUUGGUCUGAGAGGUUGAGGAAAUUGGAUAUUACUAAAUGUGAUUUGGAGGUGUACAAAGACAGUCUUCAGGGAGGAAAUCAAUAGCAGGCUCAUAUCAUGUCUACUUUUUCUUUUUGCAUUAGAGCACAGAAGUUAAUAAUCAAGAGAAAUUACUUAUUUCCAAGGAGAAGGGGACAAAAAAACCCAAUUACACUAAAUCAGAAGUAUCAUUCUGACAGGAGUAAAAGCUGAUGAAAUCAUGAGUGAUUUAUUUAAAGUUCCAACAAAUAAUUUUAAGAGCAUUUCUAUUCACUGAUUUAGUCAUUCAGCCAUUCACUAUUCUUUCUUUCCUUCCAAUGCCAGGCACUGGUGUGAGAGAAAUGAAAAUGAGUAGAACCUGGUCCUUCCUCACAGAAAUUACAGUGCUGAAGCAAGUAUGAAGGAGAUGCACGAUCAAGCCACAGCUGGGUUUAAGAGGUAAGUCAUCUAUUAAAUGCAAAAGGAAAGAUCACGAGCAGGAAAUGCUGUUACUUUACUAAAGUUUAAUUUCCUCUUCUAAUUGUUAGGAUCCCAAGACUUCCUUAGUUUUGCUAAGCCUCAAUGCUUGCUUUGUGUUAUAGGUCUGAUUUGAAAAAGAAAGGACAUGUUGAGAAUCAAAUGUUUGGAAGUAAAAAAUGAACGACUCUAAGAAAGUUCUGGAAUUUUUUGGGGGAGGGGGUGGUUGGUACCGAGGAUCAAACUUGGGACCUUGCACUUGCGAGGCAGGCGGCAGAACCACUGAGCUAAAUCCCUGGCCCAAGUUCUGGAGUUUUGAUUACUGUCUCCUUAGUAACUCAUACUCAUACUCACCUGCCAUCUCAUGCUCUUCUUCCCUUGAAAAUUGCAAUGUCCCAUUAAUUUACUCAUUUGUUAAUUAGACAUACAUUAAACACCUACAGCGGGCUAAAUAUUGAGGGUAUGUAGGUGAUCAAAUGCCAUCACUGGUCUGUGAAAAGGCAACACUCAAUCUCUGUAAAAGGCAAUAAUGUGUAGGACACAUAUGGGAAGCACAGCGGAGGAACUAAUCUGCCCAAGAAAGGUAUCAUAGUAGAAGACACCCUUGAGCUUGGUCCUGAAAGAUGGGCAGGAGUUUUCCAAUGAAGAUGGUGGUAGAGAGCUUUCCAAAGAAGGCAAAGAGCCUGAGCUAAGUCACAAAGGGGCAGAAUUACAUGGCCUAUUACAGAAAGGGGACCCAUGUGAGAUGAGGAUAGAGGGGGAGGAGAUGAGCUGGAAAGGCAAUUUGAACUGCGAUUCAGAAAAGAGGUUAAACUACCUUUCAACUACAUGUUGUCCUUCAUUGUAUUGAGAACCUUAGGCCCUUCCAGCCCAGAGCCUCAGAGAUAAUGGAGUCAUCUCACCGGCCCAGCUUAGCUUCUACUUGUGGUCUCCUUGCCCUGUCAUUCCUAUGACAAGGUUUAGAAGCAGACAAAGUGCUUAUGGACUGCCACUCUGCCCUUGCUUUUUCCCCUCUUGGGAGGAAGAGUGGUCUCUAUCUCUAGUGUCCUUUCCAGUUUGGUUAUUCUGUGAUCUAAUAGUAAGCCCACUAGAGACUCCCUUCCUUGGGGUUCUGCUCCAGGCUCAAAUGAAUCUGAUAAGCACAUUAUAAAACAUGGUAGCUUUACCAUGCUACUUCUUAGGACAAUAGAUUUGACAUACAGAAGGAUUCAGUGUUUUACAGAAAUUAAUUUUUGGAUCUAGCCUGUAUGUUUGUGUAUGCAGUUGUGAAGAUGUUUUGGGGAGAGGAGAGCAGGUGCUUUUUUAUCUGAAGCCAUCACUGAUUCACAUGCCUCAGAGCAUGAUGAGCUGGCCACCUCUAACCUCAACCAUCUUAUUGGCUGCUGUGGCCAUGGUCUGUCACCUAUAGCCUGUGACAGACUGUGCUUGAAGGGGGCUUCAGUGUACAAGGUUCUUAUGUUUAAGAUAUUUGUAGUCUUUAUAUGUCUAUGGUAGUAAAUUACAGUAACAAAACAACAAGAAAAACAACAGAUUUUAUUCCUAAAGUGCCACUAUUUCUUGAAGUAUUCAUAGCUUCCCAUCAUAUCAGUUCCCAGACUGAUAUUUAAUGGUUGCACUGAACAAAUUAAAGAGAGAAAACACGAAUAAACAGGGCUUUAAGUUAUAUGAUGGUUUUGUUUCCAGAAGUGGUAGAUAAAUUACAAACAGAAGCAUCAAUGUCAUAGUCUACAAGAUGAAUCCUACCAUUCUUGACUGACUCUAGAUAAUAAUUCACAUAGCUCAUUACAGGAGAUACAGAUUUCUAACAUAUUUAUGUCCUAGGUGAGAUUCUGGAAGAUGUUAGGAUGAAGCAAGUAUUUAAUUGGUAUGGCAAGGGGACUGUAAGUUUCUUAGUGUAGGCAAAAACCUGCAUUAUGGGACUUAAAAAAGAGCUAUUUGCCUUGUAGUGUGUAGAGUCUGAACUGUUCAUGAUCUCUGGUGGCAGUGCUGGGAGGCAGAAGAGAUGAGACUAAUAAGCUCUGAUCUUGCAGAUGCAGAUGCUGUGCCAAGAACUGAUGAGAAAGCCUUUUCCAAUAGGGAACCAGGACUGGCACUCAAAUUAAAAUGUGAGAGCUUCUCUUUCUUUUUCUGCAUGACCCCUUCCCUCCUCACAAAGAAAGAGAAAAAUACUUUUUCCUUAAUUCUACUGAUCAGAGGGAGACAGAAGUUUUCUUUUAAACCACAUCAUAAGCAGGGCAGCUGGUAACUCUUGCACACCUCCCGGGGAAACUGAGCAUUGUGCUCCCAAGGCUCCCAAGGCGAUAGCUGUGCAAAGCAGGGGUGGCUGCAUUGUAUAGGGCUUCACAACAACCAUUACAGUCUAGGCUUUGGCUGUGAGGGAAUAUUUAAAACUUUUGGUUGCCAAAAGUGAUGAACUACUUUCAUGUAGUCAUGGAAAACAAUUGUUGGAGGCUGGCAGAACCAAAUCUUGAAAAUUUUGUACAUUCUUUUCUUUUCCUGAGUUCAACCCUUUGCCCCUUAUUUGACAGUUUCUAUGUACAGAACAGGUUAAGCAUUGCCUUGGGUAAAUGAAUAUGCAAACAGAGGGUACACAGAAGCAUUAUCCAUCUGUGACAUGAGCAAGGCUUUUGCAUAUUAGUACAGAUCUCAAUGAGCAGCAAGAGGGUUGUUUGUGCUUGGGUUAUGCUUGCUGUGUUCCAAAACUAAGGUGAAAUCUGGCCUCAGAUCCCUGAGGUCUAACUAAUGCAGUAAUGAACUGAGACAGCUUGUUAGGCAUCGUUUCCACCAAAUUCCCAGGCUGUUCUGUUCUGAGAAGAUAUUUUCUAAGUUGAAAAUGGCGUAAAUGUAAUGGGCCCCACUCAGAAAUAACAGAUCUUAUUGUAAAGUCAUCUAGAAAUGAAUGGAGCUGGUGAUGCCUUAAAAUAUUCCUGUUCCUAAAGUUAUAUUCAAGAGUCUUAUUGUCAAGGAAACAUGAUGGGCUUAUUGAAUACCCUGUAGAAUACUAUACAUGAAGUUCUUGCUUUAAUGCAGUUUUUCUAUUUAAUCUGAGUUGUAUAUAUGCUGUUGCAGCUUCAAAACAUCUGGGUACAGCAAUUUUUUUUUUCUAUCCUGCACCUGCAAGAGUAAGUACACACAUAAACGAAAAAGAAAUUAAAUCUUCUGCAGAACUGGGGAGAAAAAGAACUCAACCAGCCAUGAAGCUCAGGGGAGCAGUAUGACAAGUGCUGAGCUGUAAACAAGCUUGAGAGGGAUUUAAUUCUUCUGACAAGUGCCAGUGGUGGCAUUUCACAUGGACUUAGCAUAUGCACACAUUUCAGAGAGGAGCCACACAGGAUUUAAUGCAAAUAGAAGAGAAGAAAAAAAAGCUCUCAGUGCCUCAGCAGCUCCUUGUCUAUAAAUAGCCAAGCAAAUCAGGAGAAGCUAGUGUUGUAAUUAUCUUGAUUUUCAGAAUUUUUGCCACUCAGAAGAGAUUUUUAGAGUCUCCUCCCUGCUCUUCAUAAUUAUAGCGGUUGUUCCAACCUCUGCCAAGGGUUGGUGGUUGCAGUGUGAUAUUCACCAGGUGGCUGCUCUGCAGCAGAGAAAACUACCCAGUUUCCUACAUUGGUCUGGUUUUGUCAUUUAGGAUCCAAAUCAAGACUUCAGAGAGCAACCAUUCAUCAUCUUGUGACAGCUGCUUCUUCACUUUUGAUUGUACCUUCUAGACUCUGGUGCUGUGGGGCCUUUCUGCACUUGAGUGACAUGACUAAGAUACCAGAGGAGCUGUGCAGACAGUUCAAUCAGGAAAAGAGGGGAAGCCAAUCCUGUAGUAGCCCAGAAACUGGACCCCUUCCAAAUGCAGAAUACCAUGCUUGCUGAUCCAUAAUCUCUUGGCAUGUUCAAGAACUACAGUGGAGGGUGGGGCAAGGGCAGGAGAGUGAUUAUUAAGAUUAGGUAGGUGAGCUGAGAAAUUCUUUUUGCUUACCUAAUAUCCUUCUCCUACCUCAAGUGAGCACACUGUAGUUCACAAGCUAAAUCUAGCCUAUAGGCUGUUUUUAUAGUUGUGUCAGAACAUAGCCUCAAUGUGUAUCCCUUAUGGCUGCUUUCAUGUAACACCGGCAGGACCAAGCAGUUGCAACACUUUUUGGCAUAUGUACCAUCUGGAAUUUUACAGAACAGUUUUGCUGACCCAUCCCUUAUAUUUAACAGAACGUCAUGAUUAUGGCAGCCAUGUACCAGUUUUUAAAAAAUCACUUUCUUGAAGCUGGGGGCUAGCCACCGGAUCCAGUUACGUCUUAUGAAAUACAAGAGCAAGUAAGUUGGGUGAGGUUUUCAGGAAAAUGAUUGUUUUCCUCCUAAAACUGGCAUGACCAUGGCACUUUUUCUUUCCUCCUCUGUGCAUGGCUGUGGUAACACUUGUGUAGUGUUCCCACUGAUGUUCACACUGAUGUGCACUUCCCAUUGAUGUAGCAUGAUAGCUCCCUCAUGACUAUGAAGAAUAAAAGUUAUAUUUUAAGGAUAUAAGUGGGAAUGUGGAUUUUCAAUGGCUUUCUUGAGUGGUUGCUUUCAUCUUGGACUGGUUAGUCCUGAACAGAUUAUAGUCCACACAUUGAGCCACCUAACUGGAUUUGUAUAACUCGCAAGCAAAUCGAAUCCUAAGAAGGGAAUUGUGAAGACACAUGAGCUUGGCAUAGAAGUCAAGAAGGAAUUGCAGUCCCUGCUGGCUCCUUCAGAUUCCCCACCAGCACUCAUGGAGGGCAAAGGAAUCCCACCCACACCCUGGGAAGAGUGGCAGGGCCUGUCGAUUCUAAUGGGUACCCACAUACACAGGAGUCUAUGGACUCCUGCCUGAGAGUGAAGAGCCUAGAGCUUCUCUGCUAGUAACUCCCAUCUCCUGCAGACUCCACAGUCAGUGUGUGGAGGCAAUUGUAGGCCCCAGAGGACCCCCACAAGAACAUGAGCUCACUUCUGACUCAGAGGUCCCUCACUUGCCAGUGAACCUGGCUGCCAAUUCCUUCAUUGUGCUUGGGGGUUGGAAGGGAGUACUUCCUAACCCAAGAAAU
ensembl:lncRNA